CGAAGGUCCACAAGGUCUUCCGGGACAAUCGGGUGAAAUGGGACCAAGAGGAUUUCCGGGUCCCAGAGGAUUUUCUGGACUCCCUGGACCACCGGGGAUACCAGGCUCUGAAGGACCACUUGGACCAAAAGGC